CAGUAGCCGCGGGAAUACGUAGGUGGCAAGCGUUGUCCGGAAUUAUUGGGCGUAAAGGGCUCGCAGGCGGUUUCUUAAGUCUGAUGUGAAAGCCCCCGGCUCAACCGGGGAGGGUCAUUGGAAACUGGGAAACUUGAGUGCAGAAGAGGAGAGUGGAAUUUCCGGUGGAGCGGUGAAAUGCGUUGAGAUCGGAAAGAACACCAACGGUGAAAGCACUCUGCUGGGCCGACACUGACACUGAGAGACGAAAGUUAGGGGAGAAAAUGGGAUUAGAUACCCGCGUAGUCCCUGUCUCUUAUAU
rnacentral:rRNA from 1 species